rnacentral:lncRNA from 10 species
CUAGGUUUCUCCUUGCCAUUCUACUUCCCAGCUGGCUGGCUUCAGGACAGGAAUUCUUGGCUCUUUCUGAGAUAUGGUGGAUGAUAGCAGUCCCUUGGGAUCCCCAUAUCUGUGUAAAUGUACCUCAGAGAAGAAGUGAUGGCAAUACCAAGGAUUGGCUUUCAGGACAUUCAUUGUAGAAUAAGGAGGUCUGGACUUGGACAAGUAGAAGAAUGCUUCAAGCUUCAGACAAAUUUAAGCAUUCUCACUUGGAAGCACCUUAAAUCCUUGGUGUUCAGAUUUGACAACCGUAAAAAUGUUCGCUAAAGAGGUUUGCGGGGGAUUCCUUGAGCAGCACAAGAUUAUUUUUUUCCCAACAACUAAAAAUAUUUAGUAGACAAUGUCUUGCUCUGUUGUCCAGGUUGGAGUACAGUGGUGCUAACAUGGCUCACUGCAGCCUCAACCUUCCAGGUUCAAGCAAUCUCCCACCUCAGCCUCCCGAGUAGCUGGGACUACAGGCAUGCACUACCACACCCAGGACCAUUGAACUUACUCCAGUCUCCGAAUUUUUCUGAGAUUUCUAAAAGUUGCAAAGGAUGUACAGCAGGACCAAUGCAGUCUGUUGAGUGACCCUGAUAUAUCAAGGUUCUUUACUAGACACUUUGGGUAAAACAAUAAUGCUUCUUCAGCCCUUACAGUGUGUCAGGGACUCUGAUAAAUACUUCGUGUGCAUUUUUUCAAUGACUUCACAAAAUCCUCAAGUGGCAUAUGCAUUAUGAUCUCCACUGUACAACUAGAAAAUCAAGGUGCAGAAACGUAAUUUGCUUGAGGUCACACAGCAAUUUGGGAGUUAAUUGGGAUUAAUACUUUUUUUUUCUUUGAGACAAGGUCUCACUCUGUUGCCCAGGCUGGAGUGUGAUGGCGCAAUCUCAGCUCACUGCAACCUCCACCUCCCAGGCUCAAGCCGUCCUC